CCCUGCCCGCCCCUUUCUGCUGUCCCGGAGCGGGCGCGGGUGGCCGGCGGCUGCUGAGCUCCGCCCGCGGCUCUGCCCCGUGAGGCACCGCGGCGGGCCCGGGCCGAACCGCAGCGCGGCCGGGAGGGAGGAGCGGGAUGGAGGAGCGGGAUCGGGGCGUCCCGAGGCUUGGGCGGCGGGACAGCGGUGCGGCUGGGACUGGGGGUGGAGCACCGGGUGGGCUGCGGGGCAGAGCCAGGGCUGUAGCAGGGCUGGGAAAGUGGGGAAGGACUGGGAGAGCUGCGGCGGUGGCAGAGCAGCUCUGGGGCGUUGUUUGUGGCUCUGGGAGCACGGGCCGUGGAGCUGAAGGGAACUGCGGGCACCGGAGGCAUCUGAAGGGAAGUUCCACUAGCAGUGUUGUCUCCAAAGGAUCCCAAAUGGCUCUGGUUAAAAUCAGCUAUGUGGUGUCCUUCUCCUCCCAGGAACUUGGCGUGUUCAGUCGUGUGCCUGUCUCCAGAACUGCAGCAGCCUGCAGCUCACCUGCAGCCAGCCCUUUGGUCCAUGCAGCUGCUUUGGGCUCUCCUUCAUCCGCCUGUGCAAACCACAGGGGCAGGAGCCUGACCCCCCACGGCCACCCCUGGACACAGAGAUCCAGGGAGGAGAAGCAACUGAGGACCUGCCAGUGGAAGCUGGAAGGGGCUGCCUGGAGCCCAACCCACCUCAGCCACUCUGUCUGGAUGGUGCUGAGGCCCAGAGCUGGCACGAGCACCCUGGAGGGUCACCCGAGCUGCUGGCCAAGGAUGUGGGAGCUCCUGCAGUGCCAGGCUCUGCACUGGAGUCCCUGCAGCUCCCUUGAGUACCUGCAGGCAGUUGGACAGGCACUCUGCUCACAGCCCUGCUGGCAGGGCUCCAGCUGCCACCUGAAGGAUGUCCAGGGUGAAAGGAAGAGCCUGAGCCUGUGGCCCCCAAGAGAGAGAGGUCAGGAGGAAUGACAGAGGACAGACCAGCAGUGAUGGGGGACAGGUGUCUGCCCCAUCUGCUCAGGCUGAAUCCUGCUGAAUUCCUGCUGAAUCUGCUCCCCACACAUGCCUCCCUGUGUGGAGAAGAACCUGCUGUAGCCUGGCCUUCCUUGUCCCCUGAUGCCUGGGUGCCCUGCCCCAUUUGCCAGCUGCCCUUUGGUGUGGCAGAGGUAGAGCAGCAUGCCAGCAACUGCAGGGAGACACCAGGGGCCCUGUCCUCACCCCACUGGCUGCAGGAGGACAGCAGAGCUGGGGACAAACCCUGUGUCACCACCCCUGAGGGCUGAACCUGAGGUACUCAAAGGGAUAGAGACACUGCAGCCCCCAGACAUCUUUGGCAAGGCUGGUGUGAGGAAGGAGCAGGUGUUUCCAGCCCCAUGGCCAGGUUUGGUGGGGUCUGAAGCACUGUAAUAGCAGGGGUUGCUACUGGAGAAGAGUUAAGUUAAAGGACAAAAAUAAGAAAGACAGAAGUCUGCACUGACUGCUUGGUGGUACAGCAGGCUCCCUG